CGACAAUAGUAAAGUCGACGAAAAGUUAUAUUCUCAAAAGUAACCAAAAUGAUUUUUACGCAAUCAAAUUUCUUUAUGUUUCUCUCAAUCUAUCAUCUCCUUAUUGACAAUGCUCGGAGUGCAUAUUCAUUUGAAUUUGUUUUACCGGACUCCAAAACCAUACGCGGAGCAACCUGUCGCAGUUUUAGUCCCUAUUUCUGCAUGGUUCGAUAUUACACUUCCACAUUCCAGCAACGUGAUCCCUUCUGGAAUGACACGUUUGCCAUUGAAAGGAUGAGUCGCUCAAUAUUCAGGAAAAAUAAUUGGUUUUCUUUGGACCCUGAGCUCGAGCCCUCA